GGCGAGACAUUCAUAUAAGGUAAACAGACUUGAUCGUCUCCUGUAAUACAUUCUAGUUUCUUAAUACACAUUUUAUGUCGUAUAUAAAGUAUUAUGCAGUGUCAGUGGCCCAGGCCAAAGGCACAGCUAAUCAAGCAGCUCGCUUCAGAAGCAGACGCGCAGGGAGAAGGCAAGUAUAGCGCAAUCCCUGCGUGGCAUUACCAGCCCGGUCAUGAGCAAGCUGUGGUUAAGGGAAUUUUUGACUGGCAUCUGGGUCAUUGUGUUUAACAGCUGCAGACGGGUUAAGCCUGCAAGAAUUUGGCUAACCCCUUUCUGGAAUUCUUUCAUAUUUCUGGCCUCCAAAGCAUCCCGUGACAAUGAGUGUCAUAAUUCAACUUUGCAUUGUGUGAAAGAAGUGCUUCCUUUUCUUCAUACUGGACCCACAGCCCAACAGUCUGGUCAGUGCUCCCUUUCUCUUGUUACAGGACACACAAAGAGCGACACUUGCCUGUUCACACGUCUGUGCUGCUCACGAGCUGGUGAGACCUCUCAUAUCCCUUCACAGCAGAGCUGACGAAGCAGAGCACUGCUGCUGUCAGCCUCCUGCCUCUGGAAACUACUGCACAUUUCUGCACCAUCUUUUCCAUAUUCUGAGUCUUCUGUAUCCUCCUCUGCCUAUGCAGAGCUGCCCCCGUGUUUGAGGUGUCUGCAUCAUCUGGAAGGUACAUCCACUGAAAUGUUUCCUAGAAAAAGGUUAGGGCAGAACAAGCACAUAAAGAGGAGGCCAGGUGAAGAAAGGAAGAUGGACUAGAAGAUGGGUGUCAAGCCUGCACAGGGCACACAGAAAAACACUUACUGCCUUGAGUGUACACCACUCUCGAACACAGACUGGAAACCAAGCUGGAGAGUCCUACGGUUGUUCUGCUGCCAACAAAGCCUCCUGAAAUGUGCUAAUUACAUGUGUCUGCUUAUGUAUAGAUUGGUAACAGGGAUGCCCCAAAUACAUAUACAUGUAAAAUACAAGCCUCAUGGUCACAGGGAAAUGGUUAAGGUCCUCCACAGUGAACCUGAAGACAAGGAUAUCAGAAGACAAAUAGACCUUCAGUGGGGUACCAGCCUCACCAAGAGCUCCUAGCCAAGAUCUACAUCUUCUGUGGGCAGGAUGGAUGACGCUAAACCCAGCCGUGCCCUCAACACCACCUGGAGAGACGUCAGCCUGCACUGGCUUUCCACUGCAUGCACCAGCAAGGAG